GGACCAAGACCAAGUGAUUUAGCAUGAACAUGCCAUUUUGAUGAAGCCCCAAAUUGUUACAAACUGCUUUGGUUUCUCCCCUUUCCUGGACUGAUCCCAGUUCCAUUAAUGACCUUGCCUUCUGCUGUGAGAUUUGCUUAUAUAGCACAUGGUUAUUCUCUGCUGUGCUGCCUGCAGGAUGCCACUGCUAUAUAGCUCCACUCUAGGAUCUCACUGGAAAGAAUGACCAAAAGAGAACUAGAAAGCCAGUGCAAGUAAAACACCUCUGGUUUUCUGCUGAGCAUGGGAAGUUUGGUAAGCUUUUUUAUUUAGAGUGAAAUUUGGAAUACACUAAGUCAGUAUAUUAUUUGGCAUUAAACUUCAUUUGGGCCAGAAUGUCAUACCUGUUUUCUAUGACUCCCCUUAGUGGCUGUUGCUGUGAGUCAAGAGUGUUGGAGACCUCACUGAAGCCAGGAUUUCACUCUAAACAGAAGUAUGACCAAUGCUUCCUGUCAUCCUCAGAGAGAGCACAAUUAGGAAAUUAAUAUACCAGAAAGAGACUGCUUGCUUGAGUAUGAUAUGCUUUUUUUCUGUUUAAUAGCCUUAUGGUAUCAGAAGUCUUAUUUCUAUGUACAAACUUAGGCCAUUCUAAACUCUUUCUGAAUAACAAAGAUGGAUUGACGAGCUUCUGUUUUUUUUAAUCUGGUUUUCUUGCAACAAAGCACUGUGGUUUUGUGGUAGGUGGGUUUUUUGUUUGGUUGGUUGGAGUCUUUUUCUGGAACCAUUCCUGCUCAUUGACAUCAAUUAGCAAGCAGAAUGCUGGGAUGGUGGAAGCUGACACAGAGUUACACAAUCAAUACCAUAUAAAGUAGUAAUGCAGCUACACUACUGCCACUUAACAUUUCUUUCUGUUAAAUCCUAACUUUUUUUAAACCAUCCCAAUGAGUCUGAAGCUAUUGUUACCUCCUUUAAAAAGUUUCAACUUUCCAAAAUGCUGUAUGCUGCUCAAUAAGGUUAGCCCUGCAGUAUUUGCUCCCACAAAUAAAACCUCGUAUUUGAUUUCACUGCAUCACCUUUUUCCUGGGCGAUCUUAAUCACCCUACAGAAAUGCACAUAUCAUUAUUUUCUACUCAAUCAUUUUUGUAUCUACAGCAAGCUGUUCACAGUGUUUCCCAGCUGAGGAAAGCAAAGCCUUGCACUCAAUUUAAUGAUGUUUAUCUAGCAGUAAUGUGACAGUUUUGGAGCAAGCCAGCUGAGCAAUCUCCAAAUUUUAAGGUAAUGUUCGAAGUACAUGUGAGAACAUUAUUUUUCUGACAACUGGAAAACUGGAAUAGGAAAAGUAGGAUUGAAACAAAUUUUGAAGUUGCUUAGCAAUGUCUCAUCUAACUUGUAACUGCUUAUUUUUCAAAACUAUUUGAUUAGUCACUACUAUCAAGUAGGAUAGAAUGCUACUAUCAUUCAGAGUUACUUUCUCUCAUACAAAAAUGUAUACUGAGACCUUGCUUGAAGGCCUGCUUUACUUAUGAAACCAUUCCAAUUUGAAUGGCAGGCAUAUGAAUACUCUCAAAAAACAGUAUAGAUAUAUCUAGAGAACUCCACUGUGAGGGAGAAAAUAGCUAGUAACCACAAAAAUGAAUGCUUUACAUUUAUUUAGAAAUCUAUCCUUUGGAUGUCAGGUGUGUUUAAAUAAAGUGCUCAUAUUUUCAA